rnacentral:rRNA from 1 species
GGGGGUAAUUUAAUUAAUUAAGUUUAAUAAAAGAAUUUUUAAUAUUAUUUAUAUUUUAAUGGGGGUUAAAGUAUAUUAAUUGAAAAAAUUGAAAAAUUUAUAGUUAAGUAGUAUUGAGAAAGAAUAUUGAAAUAAAAUGAAAAUAAAUUAAAAAUAAAGUAAAUUUAAUUUAUUGUAUCUUGUGUAUCAGAGUUUAUUUAUAAAAAUUUUUAAAAAAAAAUUUUUCGAAUUUAAAAGAGUUAAUUAAUUAAAAAUUUUAUUGUUACAUAAAUAUUUAAAAUAAUUAAUUUGAAAUGAAAUGUUAUUCGUUUUUAAAUAUAUCUAAUUUUUUUAGAAAUAAGUUGAAUUUAGAAUUUUUUUUUAUUUAUUUAUAAUGUUAUUAUUAAAAUAAUAAAAAAAAUUUAAUAUUUUAAGGGAUAAUCUUUAAAUUAAAUUUUUAUAAUAAAUAUUAUUAAAAAAUAAAUUUUUUAAAAUUUAUAUUGUUUAUAAAUUAUAUUUUUUUAUAAAAAUUUUUAUUUAAAAUAAAAUUUUUAAUUAAAAUUUAAAUUUAUAUAAAAAAAUAAUUUUUAAUUAAAUAAAAUUAGUUAUAAUGAUAAAAUUAGUAUAAUAAAAUUAUAUAUUAAAAUUAAUUUGUUAAUAAUUAAUAAAAAGGAAUUCGGCAAAAAAAAAUAUUCACCUGUUUAACAAAAACAUGUCUUUUUGAUUAUAAUUUAAGGUUGAAUCUGCCCACUGAUUUUAUUAAAGGGCUGCAGUAAAUUGACUGUACAAAGGUAGCAUAAUAAUUAGUCUUUUAAUUGAAGACUUGUAUGAAGGAUUUGAUGAGAUAUUAACUGUCUCUUUAUUAUAUUUAGAAUUUAAUUUUUUAGUAAAAAAGCUAAAAUUUUUUUAAAAGACGAGAAGACCCUAUAGAGUUUUAUAAUAAAAUUAAUUAUUAAUUUAUGUAUAAUUUAUAUUUUAUAAUUAAUUUUAUUAUUUUGUUGGGGUGAUAGAAAAAUAAAUAUAACUUUUUUUUUAAUUUUUCCAUAAAUUAAUGAAUAAGUGAUCCAUAAAUUAUGAUUAAAAGAAAAAAUUACCUUAGGGAUAACAGCGUAAUUUUUUUUUUUAGUUCUUAUAAAAAAAAAAGUUUGCGACCUCGAUGUUGGAUUAAGAUAAAAUUUAAAUGUAGAAGUUUAAAAUUUUUGAUCUGUUCGAUCAUUAAAAUCUUACAUGAUCUGAGUUCAAACCGGUGUGAGCCAGGUUGGUUUCUAUCUUUAAAAUAUUAAAAUAUUUUAGUACGAAAGGAUCAAAUAUUUAAAAUAAUUUUAUAAAUUAGAAUAUUAAUAAUAUGUGAAAUAAAUUUAAAAUAAUUUUAAGCUAUUUUGGCAGAUAAAAUGUAAU